CACGUAGUUAGCCGGGGCUUCUUAGUCAGGUACCGUCAUUUUCUUCCCUGCUGAUGGAAGUUUACAUACCGAAAUACUUCUUCCUUCACGCGGCGUCGCUGCAUCAGGGUUUCCCCCAUUGUGCAAUAUUCCCCACUGCUGCCUCCCGUAGGAGUUUGGGCCGUGUCUCAGUCCCAAUGUGGCCGUUCACCCUCUCAGGCCGGCUACUGAUCGUCGCCUUGGUGAGCCCUUACCUCACCAACCAGCUAAUCAGACGCGGGUCCAUCUCAUACCACCGGAGUUUUUCACACCGUCCCAUGCGAGACCGUGCGCUUAUGCGGUAUUAGCAGUCAUUUCUAACUGUUAUCCCCCUGUAUGAGGCAGGUUACCCACGCGUUACUCACCCGUCCGCCACUCAGUCAAAUAAGACUUCAAACCGAAGUAAUCCGUCUUAAGUGACUUCGUUCGACUUGCAUGUGUUAAGCACGCCGCCAGCGUUCAUCCUGAGCCAGGAUCAAACUCU
rnacentral:rRNA from 1 species